UACGGAGGGGGCUAGCGUUGUUCGGAAUUACUGGGCGUAAAGCGCACGUAGGCGGCUUUGUAAGUUAGAGGUGAAAGCCCGGGGCUCAACUCCGGAAUUGCCUUUAAGACUGCAUCGCUAGAAUUGUGGAGAGGUAAGUGGAAUUCCAGGUGUAGUGGUGAAAUACGUAGAUAUCUGGAGGAACACCGGUGGCGAAGGCGGCUACCUGGCCCAACAUUGACACUGAGACCCGAAAGCGUGGGGAUCAAACAGG
rnacentral:rRNA from 1 species